AUUGAACGCUGGCGGCAGGCCUAACACAUGCAAGUCGAACGAGUGGGGACGGGUGAGUAACACGUGGGUAACCUCCCAUCAGAGGGGAUAACACUUGGAAACAGGUGCUAAACCGAUACUGAUGGAUGGACCCGCGGUGCAUUAGCUAGUUGGUGAGGUAACGGCUAACAAAGGCCACGAUGCAUAGCCGACCUGAGAGGGUGAUAGGCAACACUGGGACUGAGACACGGCCCCGACGCCAACGGGAGGCAGCAGUAGGAAAUCUUCGGCAAUGGACGAAAGUCUGACCGAGCAACGCCGCGUGAGUGAAGAAGGUGUUCGGAUCGUAAAACUCUGUUGUUAGAGAAGCGGUAUCUAACCAGAAAGCCACGGCUAACUACGUGCCAGCCGCCGCGGUAAUAC
rnacentral:rRNA from 1 species